ensembl:snRNA U4 U4 spliceosomal RNA
AGCUUUGCGCAGGGGCAGUAUUGAAGCCAAUGAGGUUGAUCCGAGGCGCGAUUAUUGCUAAUUGAAAACUUUUCCCAAUACCCCGACUUGAAACAUAGUCGGCCCUGGCGAUUUUUGAGUCUCUACGGAGA